UCAGAACGAACGCUGGCGGCAUGCCUAACACAUGCAAGUCGAACGAGACCUUCGGGUCUAGUGGCGCACGGGUGCGUAACGCUGGGAAUCUGCCUUUGCUUCGGAAUAACAGUUAGAAAUGACUGCUAAUACCAUAUAAUGUCUUCGGACCAAAGAUUUAUCGCCCUGAGAUAAGCCCGCGUAGGAUUAGCUAGUUGGUGAGGUAAAGGCUCACCAAGGCGACGAUCCUUAGCUGGUCUGAGAGGAUGAUCAGCCACACUGGGACUGAGACACGGCCCAGACUCCUACGGGAGGCAGCAGUGGGGAAUAUUGGACAAUGGGCGAAAGCCUGAUCCAGCAAUGCCGCGUGAGUGAUGAAGGCCUUAGGGUUGUAAAGCUCUUUUACCCGGGAUGAUAAUGACAGUACCGGGAGAAUAAGCUCCGGCUAACUCCGUG
rnacentral:rRNA from 1 species